GACGAACGCUGGCGGCGUGCCUAAUACAUGCAAGUCGAGCGAGUCUGCCUUGAAGAUCGGAGUGCUUGCACUCUGUGAAACAAGAUACAGGCUAGCGGCGGACGGGUGAGUAACACGUGGGUAACCUGCCCAAGAGAUCGGGAUAACACCUGGAAACAGAUGCUAAUACCGGAUAACAACAGAUGAUGCCUAUCAACUGUUUAAAAGAUGGUUCUGCUAUCACUCUUGGAUGGACCUGCGCUGCAUUAGCUAGUUGGUAGGGUAACGGCCUACCAAGGCGAUGAUGCAUAGCCGAGUUGAGAGACUGAUCGGCCACAUUGGGACUGAGACACGGCCCAAACUCCUACGGGAGGCAGCAGUAGGGAAUCUUCCACAAUGGACGCAAGUCUGAUGGAGCAACGCCGCGUGAGUGAAGAAGGGUUUCGGCUCGUAAAGCUCUGUUGUUGGUGAAGAAGGACAGGGGUAGUAACUGACCUUUGUUUGACGGUAAUCAAUGAGAAAGUCACGGCUAACUACGUG
rnacentral:rRNA from 1 species